GACGAACGCUGGCGGCGUGCUUAACACAUGCAAGUCGAACGGAAAGGCCCUGCUUUUGUGGGGUGCUCGAGUGGCGAACGGGUGAGUAACACGUGAGUAACCUGCCCUUGACUUUGGGAUAACUUCAGGAAACUGGGGCUAAUACCGGAUAGGAGCUCCUGCUGCAUGGUGGGGGUUGGAAAGUUUCGGCGGUUGGGGAUGGACUCGCGGCUUAUCAGCUUGUUGGUGGGGUAGUGGCUUACCAAGGCUUUGACGGGUAGCCGGCCUGAGAGGGUGACCGGCCACAUUGGGACUGAGAUACGGCCCAGACUCCUACGGGAGGCAGCAGUGGGGAAUAUUGCACAAUGGGCGGAAGCCUGAUGCAGCAACGCCGCGUGCGGGAUGACGGCCUUCGGGUUGUAAACCGCUUUCGCCUGUGACGAAGCGUGAGUGACGGUAAUGGGUAAAGAAGCACCGGCUAACUACGUGCCAGCAGCCGCGGUGAUACGUAGGGUGCGAGCGUUGUCCGGAUUUAUUGGGCGUAAAGGGCUCGUAGGUGGUUGAUCGCGUCGGAAGUGUAAUCUUGGGGCUUAACCCUGAGCGUGCUUUCGAUACGGGUUGACUUGAGGAAGGUAGGGGAGAAUGGAAUUCCUGGUGGAGCGGUGGAAUGCGCAGAUAUCAGGAGGAACACCAGUGGCGAAGGCGGUUCUCUGGGCCUUUCCUGACGCUGAGGAGCGGAAGCGUGGGGAGCGAACAGGCUUAGAUACCCUGGUAGUCCACGCUGUAAACGGUGGGUACUAGGUGUGGGGUCCAUUCCACGGGUUCCGUGCCGUAGCUAACGCUUUAAGUACCCCGCCUGGGGAGUACGGCCGCAAGGCUAAGACUCAAAGGAAUUGACGGGGCCCCGCACAAGCGGCGGAGCAUGCGGAUUAAUUCGAUGCAACGCGUAGAACCUUACCUGGGUUUGACAUGGAUCGGGAGUGCUCAGAGAUGGGUGUGCCUCUUUUGGGGUCGGUUCACAGGUGGUGCAUGGCUGUCGUCAGCUCGUGUCGUGAGAUGUUGGGUUAAGUCCCACAACGAGCGCAACCCUUGUUCACUGUUGCCAGCACGUUAUGGUGGGGACUCAGUGGAGACCGCCGGGGUCAACUCGGAGGAAGGUGGGGAUGACGUCAAGUCAUCAUGCCCCUUAUGUCCAGGGCUUCACGCAUGCUACAAUGGCUGGUACAGAGAGUGGCGAGCCUGUGAGGGUGAGCGAAUCUCGGAAAGCCGGUCUCAGUUCGGAUUGGGGUCUGCAACUCGACCUCAUGAAGUCGGAGUCGCUAGUAAUCGCAGAUCGGCAACGCUGCGGUGAAUACGUUCCCGGG
rnacentral:rRNA from 1 species